GACAGAGGUCCCGAGCGUUAGGCGGAAUCACUGGGCUUAAAGCGUGUGUAGGUGGAUGCCUAAGUACCUUGUGAAAUCCCACGGCUUAACCGUGGAAUUGCUUGGUAUACUGGGUGUCUUGAGCCACUUAGGGGCAACCGGAACAAAUGGUGGAGCGGUGAAAAUGCGUAGAUAUCAUUUGGAACGCCAAUGGUGAAAACAGGUUGCUGGGAGUGUGCUGACACUGAGACACGAAAGCCAGGGGAGCAAACGGG
rnacentral:rRNA from 1 species